rnacentral:rRNA from 1 species
UAACAAGGUAGCCGUACCGGAAGGUGCGGCUGGAACACCUCCUUUCUGGAGCGACGACAGUCCGCAAUCAC